GCCCUCUUAGCUCAGUUGGUAGAGCACCUCCAUGGUAAGGAGGGGGUCGACGGUUCGAGUCCGUCAGAGGGCUUCA
rnacentral:tRNA from 1 species